UGGGGAAUAUUGGACAAUGGGCGAAAGCCUGAUCCAGCCAUGCCGCGUGUGUGAAGAAGGUCUUCGGAUUGUAAAGCACUUUAAGUUGGGAGGAAGGGCAGUAAGCGAAUACCUUGCUGUUUUGACGUUACCGACAGAAUAAGCACCGGCUAACUCUGUGCCAGCAGCCGCAGUAAUACAGAGGGUGCGAGCGUUAAUCGGAUUUACUGGGCGUAAAGCGUGCGUAGGCGGCUAAUUGAGUCGGAUGUGAAAUCCCCGAGCUUAACUUGGGAAUUGCAUUCGAUACUGGUUAGCUAGAGUGUGGGAGAGGAUGGUAGAAUUCCAGGUGUAGCGGUGAAAUGCGUAGAGAUCUGGAGGAAUACCGAUGGCGAAGGCAGCCAUCUGGCCUAACACUGACGCUGAGGUACGAAAGCAUGGGGAGCAAACAGG
rnacentral:rRNA from 1 species